GAAGUUCCAGAGACGAGCACGGCAACACAAAUCACCAUAGUAGUACUGUCUGUGUUACUGAUUCUUGCCGUCACAGGGAUCCUGUGUUAUAGUUUCUUAAGGAGGAGGAGAAAGUAUAUAUCAUCUCAAAAAUGUGACGACACAAAACCAUCUGCACAGCCUCAACCCGACUCAUCUACAUUGGAUAACUCCACACCCCUUUCGGCAGAAGCUGACGUUACCCACCAGACUCACUCAGAGGAGCAGGACCUUCAUUAUUCAAGUGUUAACUUUAAGAAGUCUAACAAGAACGCACCUACUAUUAUAUAUACAUCAAAUGAAAAUGUUUGUUAUGCCACUGUGAGGUCAAAAUAACCCUUAACUACUCUUGCUGUCCACCAUAUUGUAACAAACACAUCUUCAUGUCAAGGCCUGUGUGUUUGGAUAGUUUUAGUAAACAGUGGCCAUUUAAUGAUGAAAUAGCUUGUCAGACCCUAGCAACAGUAAGCCAAGAGGUCAAUUGAAUGUUCAGUUUCAGAACAUUUCCAAGAUUAACUUGUUUAAAGCGACUUUGAACGGACAAUUCCAUUUUUUAUUAGUUACUGCUACUGCAUCAUGUUUUUCCAAUAUUUUGUUAAUGUAAAUAAUACAUCUGUAAUGUAUGUAAUGUAAUGUUUAAAACAGUUUCUUAAGGAGGAGGAGAAAGUGUAUAUCAUCUCAAAAAUGUAAUGACGCAAAACCGGCUGCACAGGUGAGAACAAGUGUUCUGUCAUUUAAAUCUUUUUAAAAUGUUGGGUUUUUGGGUCAAAUAUGGACAAACCCAAAUUUUGGGUCAUUCUAACCCAGAAGCCGAGUUGUUAAAAACCCAUAGUUGGGUAACAACAACCUUGCAUACAGUAUGGCAAUAACCCAACAGUUGGGUUCGUUCAUAUUUGACCAAACUAUGGGUUGAAACAAUGGAGCAUUUUUUUUUUUAGAGUUUACUAACACAAGUUUUGAAAAGUGUGAUUAUUUUUUACUAUAAACAGAAAGAAAGAGGAACUGAAAAAAUAUUGUGAACUUUCCAGUUAAAGAAGCUUGUGGCCUUCAUGUAUUGUUUUAAUAGCAUGUUGUUUUAUUUUAACAUGAUUUUUGUUUUUAUUUGUAUAUGGUUUUAUAAAGAUUAUAUAUGUUUCUUUUUUUCAGCGCAAUGAUUUAUCUUU